rnacentral:rRNA from 1 species
UACACUCCUGCGGGAGGCAGCAGUGGGGAAUUUUGGACAAUGGGCGAAAGCCUGAUCCAGCAAUGCCGCGUGAGUGAAGAAGGCCUUCGGGUUGUAAAGCUCUUUUGUCAGGGAAGAAACGGUGAGAGCUAAUAUCUUUUGCUAAUGACGGUACCUGAAGAAUAAGCACCGGCUAACUACGUGCCAGCAGCCGCGGUAAUACGUAGGGUGCAAGCGUUAAUCGGAAUUACUGGGCGUAAAGCGUGCGCAGGCGGUUUUGUAAGUCUGAUGUGAAAUCCCCGGGCUCAACCUGGGAAUUGCAUUGGAGACUGCAAGGCUAGAAUCUGGCAGAGGGGGGUAGAAUUCCACGUGUAGCAGUGAAAUGCGUAGAUAUGUGGAGGAACACCGAUGGCGAAGGCAGCCCCCUGGGUCAAGAUUGACGCUCAUGCACGAAAGCGUGGGGAGCAAACAGGAGUAGAAACCCCGGUAGUCCC